rnacentral:rRNA from 1 species
AUUGAACGCUGGCGGCAGGCCUCACACAUGCAAGUCGAACGAGUGGCGGACGGGUGGGUAAUGUAUCGGAACCUGCCUGGGGGAGGGGGUUAACUACUGGCAACUGUUGCUGAUACCGCAUACCAUCGGAUAUGCCGCAAUAGGAUUAGCGAGUUGGUGGGGUAAAGGCACACCAAGGCAACGAUCCGUAGCUGGUUUGAGAGGACGACCAGCCACACUGGAACUGAGACACGGUCCAGACUCCUACGGGAGGCAGCAGUGGGGAAUAUUGGACAAUGGGCGAAAGCCUGAUCCAGCCAUGCCGCGUGUAUGAAGAAGGCCUUCGGGUUGUAAAGUACUUUUAGUUGAGAGGCGGUACCUGCAGAAUAAGCACCGGCUAACUUCGUGCCAGCAGCCGCGGUAAUAC